rnacentral:lncRNA from 1 species
UGUUGAUUUAUGAUAGAACUAUCAGUGGAGUACAACUCUAUAAUCACUGAUAUGAACCUGAAUACAAAGGUCAUGAAGUGGGGGCCCAAUAAUGCAGAAGAAGGAAAUCCUCUUCUAGCUGGUCCUGCAGGAUUUAUCACAGCACCUCUAUGGUCCUCUCUUGCCUGUUAAGUCUCUCUAUAAAGGGCACUCUAUAAAGGGUGAAUGGAAGAGUGAGUGGUCUGGCCUCACUGUAGCACCCUCUGUAACAUGAGGAGUCCAGGAGCCAGUGGAAAGUUGAAGCUAAUCUGGUGUGAACCAAUGUGGCUAUAUCUUCUGCAGGUAGAGGUCAGUGAGCCACUCUGUUUAUUUUCUUGCAGAAGCCAUAGAAGUCCAGCAGUGGGAAUUGAGAAAAUCAUCGAACACUGUUGCUCCUGUGGUCGAUGUAUUAUUUUUAGCGCCACCAACAUCUUCCUAUGAAGAAGAUUAUUAUCCACCCAUAAAAAGAAAGAAGAGGAAAAAGAGGAGGCGCUACUACUAAUUAAAAGCCUCCAUUAUUACUCCAGUAAGUACACCACACUCAGACUCUUCAGGAACUUGAAAAGCAUUGAAAUGGGUUAGGGGGAGUGCACAGAGAAACAGAAACAGAGGCAGACGUU